ensembl:lncRNA
CUGCUGAAGCCCUUCAGUAGGGCUCUGUGCAUAACUGCUCCCAGCCAGUGGAUGUGCCUGCUAGAGUGCUUCACUGCUCAGCAGCAUCUGGAGGUGACAGCAUCACCAGCCACAUGUGCUGGGAAUGUGUCUCAGGAGCAUGGUUAAACCCACCAAAUAAUGCAGGGCAGACUGCAGCCUGCCAAGCUCGGGGACGGAUCCUCAGCUGAUGUUCUGCAGUGCUGGCUUCUACCAGUGCAUUCUGAAGCGACGGCUGCUUCUCCCACGGUGACGUGCUGCCAGCUCCCCAGCCAGGCCACUGCAGCAGAGGGGCACCGGAGUGACUGGAGCACCGUCCUACCCACCUGAGCGGUGCUCAUCCUGUGCCAAAGUCCACUUCGUGUCAUUGCUGUGAUUAGAGGCAGUAUCUGAAGAACCCCAGUGAGCACAGAGUGCCUCGUGAUGUCAGUCCUGACCUGAGUGGAUGCGAUGCAAUCACUGGUUAUGUGCACAGAAUCCUCCCCACGAUACGAAAUACGAUGACACAGAUCCCCAGUCCCUGUCCUUCACAUUGCACACCUACUUUCUGUACCUGAAGGAACUGGGCUGUGUGAGUUGAACACAGAGAGUUCAUUUGAAACAUCCAUUUUGCAUUCCCUUUAAAGGCCAGGUCCAGCCAAUAGCAUUCAGUUCCGCACACAUUGCAAUAAGCCGUAGAUCAUAGUUUGGCAGGAGCUGACCCGCAUAUUGCCAAGUUGUCCAGGAGGUAGUAAAGCACAGCAUGCAGCUGACACAGGCGUGCUGGGGACCUGUGAAGCAAGCAUUGGGUCCAGGUCACGGUCACUCUCAUUGGCAAUAGUGACGGACACGUCUGGCUGCUCCUCAAGUCACAGCUGACAGCCUUCUGGUGUGGGUCAUGCUGCACGCCGUCCUGUAGUCUCCCUCUGCAGAGGGCAACCAGCCAGGGUCAGGGCUGAUGCCACUGCUCUGAUGACUAAUGCUCCAGUUAACACUGGAGGAUCAUCUGCCCUGAGGAAAAACUGAACUUGGGAUGUUCAAAUUCCAAGGAAUAACUCAAUUUACCAUCCUGGACCUGAAACUCUGUGCUUGCCGCAGCCUGAGAUGCUCUUCUAGCAGUGUGCCCUCGAGGUCAGGGACACAUCAUGACCCCUAACUGCAACUCACAGCCCCUGGAAACUCCUCACCUUACCCAGGCUGCUAACGCUGCACAAGAGCAGGGAUGACUGGAGACUCAUCGAGGUUUUGGCAUAUGCAACUUUUUUUUUUUUUUUUUUUGCUUUUGUAUAAACUAAUUUAGAAAUGGAAUGCAGAGGUGCCCCUUUUAUAUUGGCUCAGCUCUGAAAAUGUUGAUUUGCAGCUUUGGGGAGGGCUUAAGAGAUAAUGCUCUUCUGAAGCAGACGCCUGCUGAUAGGCAGAGGCACACUGCUUUGCUUCCCCUCUGCUAGGUUCUACUGAACAUGGGCACAUGGCACUACAUAUGGCAUAUGUAAACAUAUGUAAAGCAACCUUUAUACAGAUAGGAUAAAAACAAACAUUUUUAUGUCCGUUUGCUUAUACGUGUAUGCCCAUAUACAUGUUUGUUUUCCACAUCUGUAUUGCAGAACUCCCUUUUUUCUCUCCAGGCAACCUUAUUGACAGGCCAAUAAAUACUACAGCAUCUCUUUCCCAUGGAUUAGGAGAGCUGGAAAUAUCUGCUCUAAAAAAAUCCUUUUUUUUUUUUUUUUCACUGCAUGUGAUAGGGGAGGGAAGAAAAAGACUUAUAAACCACGAUGGGAGAUCAGGGAGGGGAACAGCACAGACACAACGUACUCCUCAAAAAAGGUAAUCACUUCUCCUUAUUGCAGGAAUGUUGGCCAUGGACACACAGAGCUGUAAGAACCCAGGGAGGGGAGGGGGUAAAAACAGAAAAGGUGAAGGAGAAAUGAGACAUGAAAUUAAUUAAUGGAUUAUAACGCCUGUCUCUUGCCUGCAAGAAUUUGGAAGCGGUGAGACAGUGAGAACCCAGCACCAGGAAUGCCAUCAAAAUAGGUUCGUGCAAGAUCUUGUUUUUAUGGAGAUGUGCUUAAAAGGAAGACAAGCAAAGCAUGCCUUUAAAAUAAAUAUAAUUUUUCACAGUCAAAAAGAUUAGUUUUGCUCAAUAGUCUACAGUCAAGUGGGAAAAACAAGCUGGUUAUUGGACUACAUGAGAAAAGAAAUAGAAGAACACCGCGGUUUCACCAACAAAAAUCGAGGGAUAUCAGUUUCAUACAAAGACAGAACCAGCCAAGGUCUGAAAAAGCAGAUUUAUAUCAAACCCACAGCCCAGCAGAUGCAGAUUGAAUUCUCCUCCAUGCAGCACAGGAUGGGAGGAGAAUCACAGAAUCGAGGUUGGAAAAGACCCCUAAGGUCAGCCGUCCCAACUGUUCACUCACCACCAGCGCUGCCCGCUAACCGUGUCCCUCAGUGCCACAUCUCCGUGUUCAGGGCACCACUGGGGAAACAUCAGCCAGAACCUCAGGGUGCCUCAGAAAUCAAGCAGUCGUGUGAGGGAGGAUUAUCUGAGGUUUCAGUGAAGAGGCUGAAAAGAAGAUGUAACCAGUGCUGAACGAGUGAACUCGGAUCAGAUACCUGCCUGUGGGAUGGUUGGCCAUCAGCACCUGAAACUGUGCUGCGAUUCAGCUCACCAUGCUGUACACAAGUCUGCAUCUGAGGAACAAGCCAAAAAAACCCCACAGCUAAGGCAGGGAAGAAAAAUAGAAGAAAAGCCCAAUUCCCAACAGUAGGCAAAGGCAAUAGAGAAAGCAAUACCUCAAUGUAAAGAGAGACAGAAUUAAAGAAAAAAGUGAAUGUUUCUGAAUGUACUGAAGGAAGACAGAUCCACUAUCCAAGCUUGGCACGGCCUGUUUAUGCUGGG